rnacentral:rRNA from 1 species
CCAGCCAUGCCGCGUGAGUGAAGAAGGCCUUCGGGUUGUAAAGCUCUUUCGGCCGGAACGAAAUCGCUCGAGCUAACACCUCGAUUGGAUGACGGUACCGGAACAAGAAGCACCGGCUAACUACGUGCCAGCAGCCGCGGUAAUACGUAGGGUGCAGGCGUUAAUCGGAAUUACUGGGCGUAAAGCGUGCGCAGGCGGCUCUUUAAGUCAGAUGUGAAAUCCCCGAGCUUAACUUGGGAACUGCGUUUGAAACUGGGGAGCUAGAGUGCGGCAGAGGGGGGUGGAAUUCCACGUGUAGCAGUGAAAUGCGUAGAUAUGUGGAGGAACACCGAUGGCGAAGGCAGCCCCCUGGGCCUGCACUGACGCUCAUGCACGAAAGCGUGGGUAGCAAACAGGAUUAGAUACCCUGGUAGUCCACGCCCUAAACUAUGUCGACUGGUUGUUGGGGGAAAUUGUCCCUCAGUAACGUAGCUAACGCGUGAAGUCGACCGCCUGGGGAGUACGGUCGCAAGAUUAAAACUCAAAGGAAUUGACGGGGAC